CCGAGAUAUUUCCCCCAAACCCAAAACGUGUUUCUCUCUCUACGGCGCCAACUCCCUUUUUUUUCUCUCUCUAAAACUCUCUCAUAUUCCUCCAGUUCCAAAUAAUUUACACAAUCACAAAUUCACUCCGUUUAACGAAGCUUCCAAUUCGUGAUUUUGCUUUACUGACUCCGUUCUAUUCAGCUGUAGUUUUGGAUAGUUAGGUAUGUGUUGGAGAAUGAGUUGACUUGAUGGACAGUUGACUCAAAAGCUAGAAAUAUUUUUUUUUGAACGGCCAACGAAUCCUCCAAAUGGGUUACUGGCGAAAUUCACCACAUCGGGAUACACCCGCCUUCCGAACCGGGGAAAACCCCCACCUAGGGCCGAAGCCCGUGAACACUCGCCUGAAGGCACGACAGUGCGGUGAGGUAAAACCCGCUCAGUUCAAGGAUCGAACUAGCGAUCGCCGCCUACUCGCCUAGUCUCCCAUCAUCACCAGGUGCCGCAGAAACUAAAUGCUAGGGGCAGGAAUUGAACUUGAGUCACUUGGAACACAAGGUCUCUCCCUUACCACUCCACCACUAGCCCAUUGGCAAAAGCUAGAAAUAUUGAUUGCGUAUAUGUGUGUGCAUAUAGGCAUAUGUAUGUAUGUGUUUCUGUUUGUGUAUGUCUAUUAUAUGAAGAGAUAAACUUGAAAUAUGAUUGGAAAUUUUGAUGCACCAACAUCAGUAUUCACCGUAUGUAUGUGCAUAGAAUGGUCUGUUUUAACAUAUGCAUGUUCUUUCUUAAAAAGAUAAAACUUGAAAUACAGUAGAAAACUUGAUGCACCGAUAACAUACAAUACAUAACCAUGGUUUUAGAUCAAGUACAGGGUGACACAUGAUGCGAAUAUUUCCUCUGUGUGCCUUAAACAACCAAAGACAUUUUGCUGUUCUUUUUUUAUAUAUAAAAACUUAUGUUGAAGACAAGAAAUUUGAAACUACCUUGCAUUGGUGAAACCACUAAGUGCCACUACUAACACAAUGACAAUAAUUGAUUUAAUUGAUUCAAUAAUUGAAGUUGUACAGUGUUCAGUUAGAGUGUUUUCGAGUUCAAGGACUGAAGGUAAAAUCAAAUAUCUGACCUGGGUUUCGACUUUCAUGGAUUCAGGUUAUGUGUUAGAUUUGGAUAUCUGACCUGGCCACACGCAUACUUCAAGGAACUCUUUAAUCGGUUACGACUUUCAUGGAUUUAGGAUUUGUGUGUGUUUUGAAUUGAUUCGACGGUCAUUUGGGUGUAUGUUCUAUAUGAAUUUCCGCUUAUGCUGUGGGUUUUGGACGUAAGAGCUUGAUCAAGAUCUAUAAUUCAGCUUUUUAAUUUC